AACACGUAAGAAAAUAUAUGACGCUUAGGGUUCAUUCCCUUGCCUCCAAAUCCAUCAAAUUUUGAUCGACGAUGAAGAAUUCCGACAACAAACGGCUUCUUGUGAUACAUAACUGUGGAAAGUCGGGUAAGUAUCAAUUUACCGCUCUUUCUCCGCGAGAUUUAUCUGUAAUCGGUGACGAAAGUUGAGUUGUAUUCGUUCCAAGAGGAUUCCUGGAACCAAAUUUCUCCUAAGAAGCCCUUUGAUAAUCUUGAAGAAACAUAUAUGUAUGGUUCUAUGGCUAUAUCUGUUAGAGGUAAAUUUUAUUGGUUUAAUUUGCUUGACAGAAUUGUAUCGUUGGAUAGUAGUGAGAAAACCUUAUCUUACAUUGAUUUACCACCAGAGUGUCAUCCCUCGAUUCCCAUUGAAUGGGGUGAGCUUGUCCAGUUUAAUGGUGGAGAUUCGUUAGGUUAUGUUCGCAUUCGGAAUCGACAUCCUAAAGUUGGUAUUGAUUUUGACCUUUGGGAAUGGAGUGAAGAGUUAAUUAAAGUGGGUUGUUAAGUUUAGUGUGUCUCUUGGUGGUGCUAUGGGUACAGUACCGGCGACUAUAUGCGGAACAUUCUUGUUUCUUUAUGGAAGGUCUGGCAAACUGGGUGAUAAUGAACAUCGUCUAGUAGCUUACGAGUGGACUAAGGGAGACUGCAAGGAACUCGGUAUUGAUACUAAUGGCGUUAAAAUCCAUAUCGUUUGUUAUGUUGAGGGCAC
rnacentral:lncRNA from 1 species